AAGUUUUUCUCGACUUCCUCCUGCCCUCUGUAUCUGCUGCUGUUCCUUUGGCCUCUGAGAAACGCGCUCGUUUUGCUGCUUUCUUCAAAUUCAAGAGUCUACCUCUAUCAGACUCGGUCAUCUGAGUUAGUCAUGAUGCAGGAUCGCUGCUCGCUCUGAUCCAUCCUGCUCACACUCUCCGACGGAAAAGCCUCGGAACGUCAUCAGCUGCUUUGUUUCUAUUGCAGCUGUUAGCUAAACACGGCUAAAGCAGACCUGCUACCACUUAAGGAUCUGGGACUGAGUCAUCAUCUGGAUCUGGACAACAUGGAUACAGUGGCUGAGCGGAGAGCUGACCAGGAACAUUGGUGGUGGCAAAACCCAGUUGGGUCUGUGAUGGAAUGAUGCACGCCUGGAGUGAUUGCCAUCUCAUCCACAGUGAGCACACUCUCUCCAUGGUUCUAACAUCAGGCAGAGGGAUACUCGUGUCCUGAAGAAACCUGCAGCCUGUUGAACCCACUGAAAAACAGCUGUUUUCCAGCUGGGUUCCCUGCUUGCAUGGCCUGUUCCUUUCUCCUCCUGGCCCUCAUGGCUUCCUGGGAUGUCCCUAUCUCCUGAUACCAUCUCAUGUCCCCCCUCACUUUCCCUCAUCUCAUUUGCCUCACUGCUGCUGCUGCUUUCCUCAUUCUCUGAAAUUAUAAUGGCACUCUUAGAAUAAAGAAUCAUUUUAAAAUAAAAUGAAUACAAAUGUCUAA